GAUGAAGAACUUAGCGAAAUGCGAUACGUAAUGUGAAUUGCAGAAUUCAGUGAAUCAUCGAAUCUUUGAACGCAUAUUGCGCUCUCUGGUAUUCCGGAGAGCAUGCUUGUUUGAGUAUCAGUAAACACCUCAACUUCCAUAUCUUUUUUGAAAUGGGAGUUGGACUUGAGUGAUCCCAACGCUUUUCCUCACCGAAAAGUGGCGGGUUACUUGAAAUGCAGGUGCAGCUGGACUUUUCUCUGAGCUAUAAGCAUAUCUAUUUAGUCUGCCUAAAAAACAGAUUAUUACCUUUGCUGCAGCUAACAUAAAGGAGAUUAGUUCUUGUGCUGACUGAUGCAGGAUUCACAAAGACAGCUUCGGCCGACUUUGUAAACUCGAUCUCAAAUCAAGUAAGACUACCCGCUGAACUUAAGCAUAUCAAUAAGCGGAGGA
rnacentral:misc_RNA from 1 species